CAGCUGUUCUUCCCGAGCGCUCACCUCUGCUUCCUUCACCCGGUCGUCCUCAUCCGCUUCGGUUGUUGGGAACAAAAAUCUGUCCACCGGUGGCCGUGCUUAUCCUCGCAGCCGCCGCUCUGCUCAAGAUUUUUCUCACCGCCGUUGCCUCGUUCCCAUCCGCUCGGCCACCCUGGAUAAAAAUCCCAUCGGUGUCCAUCUUCUGCUCUCAACCAAGCGCCCCUGCCUUGCUCCUCGGCCUCCCUCUUCUGCCGCAGCUCGCCGAGUUCCUCUGCUCUCUCCCUGGCGCGCGCGAGCUUGCCCCUGCGCGCAGCUCGCCGGGAUGCCCCUUUCCCCAGCCGCGGACUCCCUCUCCAGAGCUCAUCCCUGUGCGCGCUGGAGUUUCUCUGCUCCAAAAAUGGCUGCCGCGAGCCCCCGAUGGCGUCUUUCCCUCGGCGCGUCCAGCUCCUUUGUUCUCCUUGCCGGAGCUCACUGCGUCGCGCCCAAGCUUCCUCCCUCUGCUCCUCCAAGCUCAGCUCGCCCAUGGCCGUCGCGCCCUUGCUUCCCAGUUUUCACCAUGGCCGCCCUUUCUUUGCCCCCAGAUGGCGAGCUCGCUCCUGUCCUCUGCCCAACGCCGGCACCCUCCACAGCCAAGCUCGCCCUCACCUCCAAGGCUCUGCUCACGUUCAAACUCUGCUCAUCUGCCAGUUUCCAUAGCACGCAGGUACGUUAAUUAAUCGCGCGAUGCGGAAGAAGAACCAAGUCGACCCCAAGCGCGGGCUAAUCCGCAGGAUGAAGCUGAUGAACGAACCUGCCUGAUCAAGUGCUAGGACAUGAAUAAUCGUCAAGUGGACGUCACCUAACAACACUAACCUAGUGUUACUCAGGCAAGCCCCGGUGCAUUUGCUACCUCCUUGUGUUUUAAAAAUCUUUUUCACUUGCUUGAUGCAUUAGGUGAUAGGAGUUGAUUGCUAAAACAAUUCCUGCAUUACCUUCCUUGAACUUGAUUACCUUCCUUGAUCACCUAUUUUACAAAAGAUUUUUGAUGCUUAGCAUUGCUUUAGAAAAACAAAAUGUUUUGUUUUUACAAAAGUUGAUGUGGCAAAAGUGGGUGGGAUGUUUUUGAAAAUAAAACUUGAUGGUGGAUCCAUCAGGGCCUUGAUGGAUUCAACAUCGGAAAAGAUGUACCUCUGCUAGGUACCAAACUUUGGGUUUGAAAUGAUUAAGCUGAGACCGGGCGGGUGACUUGCACGAGAAAGGAGUCUCGGUGUAAUGUCUCCGUCUGAGUCGAUUAAGGACCGUCUCGAUGUAGGCCUGCUGACCGAGGACCCUUUAACUGGUCACAUGCCUCGUCAUGGGUAAGCCUUGCCUCGGGCAGACUAAGGCCAGAAUAAGAUAACACGAAAUGGGCGUGGAGC
rnacentral:misc_RNA from 1 species